rnacentral:rRNA from 1 species
UACGUAGGGUGCGAGCGUUGUCCGGAAUUAUUGGGCGUAAAGAGCUUGUAGGCGGUUUGUCGCGUCUGCUGUGAAAAUCCGGGGCUCAACCCCGGACUUGCAGUGGGUACGGGCAGACUAGAGUGUGGUAGGGGAGACUGGAAUUCCUGGUGUAGCGGUGAAAUGCGCAGAUAUCAGGAGGAACACCGAUGGCGAAGGCGGGUCUCUGGGCAGUAACUGACGCUGAGGAGCGAAAGCGUGGGGAGCGAACAGG